rnacentral:tRNA from 3 species
GGAGAGGUGGCCGAGUGGCUGAAGGCAGCGGUUUGCUAAACCGUCCAUGGGGGAAAACCUCAUGCGGGGGUUCGAAUCCCCCCCUCUCCGCCA